AAAUCAGACAUUAGGUAUUUAUAUAUUGCAAUAUGCAUCUGUAGAUGCGCAGUAUAAGUUUGCAUGUCAGCAGCUGUGCUCGCGAAUGUGAAUUGCCCAAAGAUGAAGAUCUUGGUAUUGCUGUUGUGUUUUGUGAUAGCCAUAGGAUAUGUUACAGGAGAUAACUGUGCACUUACGGAAGAACCAUGCGCCAACGGUGUAGGAUGUUUUCUGACUCAAAAUAAAUGUAAUAGAUUUGACGGUGAGUGGAUGAUCAGCUAUUAUUUGUAUUUAAAAACUAAAUGUUGACAAUAUUCUUUUUAAGACUGUGACGAUAAAACUGAUGAACGUGAUUGUGAAAAUAUAACACCAUUGGACGAUAAUGUUUGGGUAUCAAGAUGAUAUUGUUUGACCCAUUUAAUUGACAUAAUUUUGAAAUUUUUACUUGUUUGACAUAGGCAGACAAUUUUUUUGUUUACUGCAUAAGCAUUUUU